rnacentral:rRNA from 1 species
UACGUAGGCAGCGAGCGUUUGUUCGGAAUACUGGGCGUAAAGAGUGUGUAGGCGGUGCUCCCAGUCUGUUGUGAAAUCUCCCGGCUUAACUGGGAGGGUGCAGCGGAAACUAGAGUGCUAGAGGGUGGGAGAGGUAAGCGGAAUUCCUGGUGUAGCGGUGAAAUGCGUAGAUAUCAGGAGGAACACCUGUGGUGUAGACAGCUUACUGGACCACUUCUGACGCUGAGACACGAAAGCGUGGGUAGCAAACAGG